GAAAAGAGUAAACAAACAAGCUCUCUGCAAGCAGACAGCAGUGAAAAUAUUCAAUUAACAAAAUUAUUCUGGUUUGAAAUGAAAUCAUUUUAAAAUACAUUUUACGUGACUUCUCAGUCCCUACUCGUGGCAGUCCUGGGCUGAAGGGUUUUGCUCACAAGAACUGCAGGUGUUGAAACUUACCCACUCUUUCAAGAUUUCGGUGCUCAGCGCCCGUCUUCUCCGUGGGGCUACGUUUCAACCUGGUACAAAUACUGAAUGAACUUUCUUCAAGGUGAAGUAAUACUAGUACAAACAUCUGAAGGAAGCAUUUACUGAUCACGUUCAACUGAAGAGCAAGGUUAAGGGAACUACGAAGUUUGCCUUUGUCUGUGUGAAGGUUAGCUAAUGUGACUUGUUUAAGAGUUAGUAUUGCCUGCAGCAAGCAAGUGUCUUCUCCAAAAUAUAUGGCAGAAAUUGGAAUAUAAAUAAAGUUACGUGGUGUAUGUGAAAUAUUAGCGCUGUUUCAUUUGCUUUCGCUGCCAUCAUCUGUCUAAUAAAUGAUCUAUUUAAAG